GGGAAUUUUGCGCAAUGGGCGGAAGCCUGACGCAGCAACGCCGCGUGGAGGAAGAAGGCCCUCGGGUCGUAAACUCCUGUCCAUGGGGAAGAUGGUGACGGUACCCUUGGAGGAAGCCCCGGCUAACUCCGUGCCAGCAGCCGCGGUAAUACGGGGGGGGCGAGCGUUGUUCGGAUUUACUGGGCGUAAAGGGCUCGUAGGCGGCCACUUAAGUCGGUUGUGAAAUCCCCCGGCUCAACCGGGGAAUUGCGUCCGAUACUGGGUGGCUUGAAGCCGGGAGAGGGAUGCGGAAUUCCAGGUGUAGCGGUGAAAUGCGUAGAUAUCUGGAGGAACACCCGUGGCGAAGGCGGCAUCCUGGACCGGUCUUGACGCUGAGGAGCGAAAGCUAGGGUAGCAAAC
rnacentral:rRNA from 1 species